UGAGGAAUAUUGGUCAAUGGGCGGGAGCCUGAACCAGCCAAGCCGCGUGAGGGAGGAAGGCCCUAUGGGUCGUAAACCUCUUUUGUCAGGGAACAAAAGCGAGUAUGUAUACUAGUCUGAGUGUACCUGAAGAAAAAGCAUCGGCUAACUCCGUGCCAGCAGCCGCAGUAAUACGGAGGAUGCGAGCGUUAUCCGGAUUUAUUGGGUUUAAAGGGUGCGUAGGCGGCGGUGCAAGUCAGCGGUAAAAGCCCGGGGCUCAACCCCGGCGAGCCGUCGAAACUGCAGUGCUAGAGAAGGCGAGAGGUACGCGGAAUGCGCAGUGUAGCGGUGAAAUGCUUAGAUAUUGCGCAGAACUCCGAUUGCGAAGGCAGCGUACUGGCGCCUGACUGACGCUGAGGCACGAAAGCGUGGGGAUCGAACAGGAUUAGAUACCC
rnacentral:rRNA from 1 species